GUAGAGUUGAUCUGCUCAGCACGCUGCGCGUGCUACACAUGCAAGUCAACGGAGAUACGCGCUGAAUGACGAAGCUUGCUUUUGAAUUCUUGUGUAUCUUAGUGGCGGACGGGUGAGUAACGCGUGAGCAACCUGCCUUUCAGAGGGGGAUAACGUUUGGAAACGAACGCUAAUACCGCAUGAGACUACGGUACUACAUGGUACAGUGGCCAAAGGAGCAAUCCGCUGAAAGAUGGGCUCGCGUCCGAUUAGAUAGUUGGCGGGGUAACGGCCCACCAAGUCGACGAUCGGUAGCCGGACUGAGAGGUUGAAUGGCCACAUUGGGACUGAGACACGGCCCAGACUCCUACGGGAGGCAGCAGUGAGGGAUAUUGGUCAAUGGGGGAAACCCUGAACCAGCAACGCCGCGUGAGGGAAGACGGUUUUCGGAUUGUAAACCUCUGUCCUCUGUGAAGAUAAUGACGGUAGCAGAGGAGGAAGCUCCGGCUAACUACGUG
rnacentral:rRNA from 1 species